rnacentral:rRNA from 1 species
UUGAAAGGGAAACGAUUGAAGUCAGUCGUGCUGGCGCGAAAUCAACCUUCUCGUCUUGAGAUCACAUGGCGUGGCGAGCCUCAAAACCGUCACGAAGCGUGAACUCUUGGUGAAAUGGAGCACCUUCGUGUCCGCUGGUUAACAUCAAUUUCGAACGUCAUAAAAAGGCUGGAGGGAUGUGGCUCCUUCGGGAGUGUUAUAACCUUUAGCGGAAUGUGGUGUUCGGGAUUGAGGAUUGCAACGAAUACCUUUAGGGCUGUUCCACCUGGCUUCUCUUUGGUAUCCUGGUGACGACAGCUUGCUGACGUCGUUAGGAUUCGCCUUUGAACAGGCUAGAGUGUGAGCAAAUUCGUUAAGGAUGUUGACGUA